GGUCCUGUGACGCAGCAGGUUUAGCGUGUCGUUCUUAUAAUGCGAAAGUCGCGAGUUCAAAUCUCGCCAGGACCA
rnacentral:tRNA from 1 species